rnacentral:rRNA from 1 species
GACGAACGCUGGCGGCGUGCUUAACACAUGCAAGUCGAACGGAAAGGCCCUGCUUUUGUGGGGUGCUCGAGUGGCGAACGGGUGAGUAACACGUGAGUAACCUGCCCUUGACUUUGGGAUAACUUCAGGAAACUGGGGCUAAUACCGGAUAGGAGCUCCUGCUGCAUGGUGGGGGUUGGAAAGUUUCGGCGGUUGGGGAUGGACUCGCGGCUUAUCAGCUUGUGGGUGGGGUAGUGGUUUACCAAGGCUUUGACGGGUAGCCGGCCGGAGAGGGGGACCGGCCCCAUUGGGACUGGGAUGCGGCCCAGACCCCUCGGGGGGGCAGCAGUGGGGAAUUUUGCACAAGGGGCGGAAGCCUGAUGCAGCAACGCCGCGUGCGGGAUGACGGCCUUCGGGUUGUAAACCGCUUUCGCCUGGGACGAAGCGGGGGUGACGGUAAGUGGUAAAGAAGCACCGGCUAACUACGU